AUUGAACGCUGGCGGCAUGCCUUACGCAUGCAAGUCGAACGGUGAACGAGGGAGCUUGCUCCCUCCGGAUCAGUGGCGAACGGGUGAGUAACACGUGAGCAAUCUGCCCUGGACUCUGGGAUAAGCGUUGGAAACGACGUCUAAUACCGGAUACGAGACGCGAAGGCAUCUUCAGCGUCUGGAAAGAACUUCGGUCCAGGAUGAGCUCGCGGCCUAUCAGGUAGUUGGUGAGGUAACGGCUCACCAAGCCUACGACGGGUAGCCGGUCUGAGAGGACGAUCAGCCACACUGGGACUGAGACACGGCCCAGACUCCUACGGGAGGCAGCAGUGGGGAAUUUUGGACAAUGGGCGAAAGCCUGAUCCAGCAAUGCCGCGUGCAGGAUGAAGGCCUUCGGGUUGUAAACUGCUUUUGUACGGAACGAAAAGCUUCGGGCUAAUACCCUGGAGUCAUGACGGUACCGUAAGAAUAAGCACCGGCUAACUACGUGCCAGCCGCCGCGGUAAGAC
rnacentral:rRNA from 1 species